AGCCCAUGGUGUGAAUACAAACUAAUCAUUUCCUUUAAUCGUUCCCAAGCUUCGAAAAACGAUUCACCAUAUAUUCGCUUGAAGCAAGUUAUCUAGUUCCUUAAUUGU